rnacentral:rRNA from 1 species
GCCCGCACAAGCGGUCGAUUAUGUGGUUUAAUUCGAUGCAACGCGAAGAACCUUACCUGGCCUUGACAUAGUAGAGACUUUCCAGAGAUGGAUUGGUACAUCCGGGAAUCUACAUACAGGUGCUGCAUGCCAAGGGUCAGCUCGUGUCGUGAGAUGUUGGGUUAAGUCCCGCAACGAGCGCAACCCUUUUGACUGUUGCCAGCAUUUCGGAUGGGAACUUUAAG